rnacentral:rRNA from 1 species
GACGAACGCUGGCGGCGUGCUUAACACAUGCAAGUCGAACGGUAAGGCCCUUCGGGGUACACGAGUGGCGAACGGGUGAGUAACACGUGGGUGAUCUGCCCUGCACUUCGGGAUAAGCCUGGGAAACUGGGUCUAAUACCGGAUAGGACCCUGGGAUGCAUGUCCUGGGGUGGAAAGCUUUUGCGGUGUGGGAUGGGCCCGCGGCCUAUCAGCUUGUUGGUGGGGUGAUGGCCUACCAAGGCGACGACGGGUAGCCGGCCUGAGAGGGUGACCGGCCGCACUGGGACUGAGAUACGGCCCAGACUCCUACGGGAGGAAGCAGUGGGGAAUAUUGCACAAUGGGCGCAAGCCUGAUGCAGCGACGCCGCGUGAGGGAUGACGGCCUUCGGGUUGUAAACCUCUUUCAGCACCGACGAAGCGCAAGUGACGGUAGGUGCAGAAGAAGGACCGGCCAACUACGUGCCAGCAGCCGCCGUAA